GCAGGGAGGGAGCGAGGGCGGGAGGAAGGCGGAGGGAUAUUCGGGCCGGACCUCGCCUCGGCGGCGCCGCGCUCCACGGCGAUUGGCCGCUGUUCUGGCCACGCGGAAUCCCCAAUUGGCCAGGCGCUCAGCGUCGAAAGGCCGCCUUUCGCCCAUUCGCCUGCUGGUUUCAAGGCCCGGGGUGGCUGGGCGGGCAGCGGAAUGGAGCGCGCUAAUUGGCCGAGGGGAGGGAGAUUGGGAUGGGGCCGCAGAGAGCCUGCCGCUGAUUGGGUGGGCUUGGUAAAGGCCUUGAGCUCAGACCGGCUGAGCGCCGAGGAGGGUGGACCGAAGGAACGACUCGGAGCCUGCGCGAUUGGCUGGGAUAGUGGGCGUUGAUAGGAUAGGGUGCCUGGGAGAACUGGGGAGAGGAGUUCGGGGUCGGGGCGCGGGAAGGCGGGAGGCGCCCGGCUGCCCUAGGAGCCCGGAGCGGGGCACGAUGGGACGCCCCCGGGAAGAGGCGGAGCUGGGUUCGACCGCUGGGGCUGCGGUUGGGAAACUACUGGAUGAUGUGGUGCACCGGAAUAAGAAAAUAAACCAAGAAACAGGAAGACGUGAUCCAGGCAACAGGAUAUUCCAGUAUAGAAUUUAAUUCUGGAGUGUGAGCAGGAACCAGUUAACUACAUUCAUUGUCCAACCCCCACUGGUUUGAAAGAAGACUCCAAAUUCUUGGCAUAUGAAUCAGCUGUUCAAUAGCUCCACCUUAUCCCUGCAGCGAAGCAGCAGAACCACCAAUGGCGGCAUCUCAGGAUUCACACUGUAGGUGGUGAGGCCUUCCGCUGAAGGAGGUACUGGUGGAUGCUCUCAGCAUCUCGCUUUAGCCAAGCAGCAUUCAGCAGAAUAUUUUCACAACACUGCUGGAUGGUACGCUCAGCUGAAGGAGCUGGGUGACUCUCGAAGAAAGCCUGGUAUAAAACAACCAAGAAUGCAGGAUCAUUACUAGCAAUAAGAAGUUAAUAUUACAGGUUAUGAAAAAAUAACCACUGGUCUAUAUGAAGGAUGCAUAACCUUCAGGCAUGAGAAUUUACCACUGCCACCCUCAGGCUAAAAGAAAACAAGCAACUGCAUACAGGAAUUCUCCCCUUAAAUAUUAUAUGCUUAACAACCUCAUCAAAAGUUAAUAAAGAGACAGAACCUAC